rnacentral:rRNA from 1 species
AUUGAACGCUGGCGGCAUGCCUUACACAUGCAAGUCGAACGGUAACGGGUCUUCGGAUGCUGACGAGUGGCGAACGGGUGAGUAAUACAUCGGAACGUGCCCGAGAGUGGGGGAUAACGAGGCGAAAGCUUUGCUAAUACCGCAUACGAUCUCAGGAUGAAAGCAGGGGACCGCAAGGCCUUGCGCUCACGGAGCGGCCGAUGGCAGAUUAGGUAGUUGGUGGGAUAAAAGCUUACCAAGCCGACGAUCUGUAGCUGGUCUGAGAGGACGACCAGCCACACUGGGACUGAGACAAGGCCCAGACUCCUACGGGAGGCAGCAGUGGGGAAUUUUGGACAAUGGGCGAAAGCCUGAUUCAGCCAUGCCGCGUGCAGGAUGAAGGCCUUCGGGUUGUAAACUGCUUUUGUACGGAACGAAAAGACUCUGGUUAAUACCUGGGGUCCAUGACGGUACCGUAAGAAUAAGCACCGGCUAACUACGUGCCAGCAGCCGCCGUAACAC